rnacentral:tRNA from 2 species
GGGCGUGUAGUUCAGUGGUAGAACGCUGUCCUGAUAAGACAGAGGUCCCAGGUUCGAUCCCUGGCACGCCCA